CUACGUGCCAGCAGCCGCGGUAAUACGGAAGGUCCAGGCGUUAUCCGGAUUUAUUGGGUUUAAAGGGAGCGUAGGCCGUGGAUUAAGCGUGUUGUGAAAUGUAGACGCUCAACGUCUGAAUUGCAGCGCGAACUGGUUCACUUGAGUAUGCACAACGUAGGCGGAAUUCGUCGUGUAGCGGUGAAAUGCUUAGAUAUGACGAAGAACUCCGAUUGCGAAGGCAGCUUACGGGAGCACAACUGACGCUGAAGCUCGAAGGUGCGGGUAUCAAACAGGAUUAGAUACCCUGGUAGUCCGCACAGUAAACGAUGGAUGCCCGUUGUUAGUUCACCUAAGAAUUAGCGACCAAGCGAAAGCAUUAAGCAUCCCACCUGGGGAGUACGCCGGCAACGGUGAAACUCAAAGGAAUUGACGGGGGCCCGCACAAGCGGAGGAACAUGUGGUUUAAUUCGAUGAUACGCGAGGAACCUUACCCGGGCUUGAA
rnacentral:rRNA from 1 species